CACGGCUGAAAGCUUCUACUAAGCACCUCUACCUAGAAAGCAGACCAGAAGCACGUCUGAGAUGCUCUGCCUGUAUCUGGUUCAUCCCUUCCAACCUGGUGACUCUGUUUGGGUAAAGAAAUUUGCCACCCAAGGACUGACUCCCACCUGGAAAGGACCACCCCCAGGCAGUCAA